CCCUUAGAUGUUCUGGGCCGCACGCGCGCUACACUGAUGCAUUCAACGAGUCUAAAACCUGGUCUGAUAGGGCUGGGUAAUCUUUUGAAACUGCAUCGUGAUGGGGCUAGAUUAUUGCAAUUAUUAAUCUUCAACGAGGAAUGCCUAGUAAGCGUGAUUCAUCAAAUCGCGUUGAUUACGUCCCUGCCCUUUGUACACACCGCCCGUCGCUCCUACCGAUUGAGUGUGUUGGUGAGGAGUUCGGAUUGGCUCUUAGUGGUGGUUCGCCACCACCUAGAGCUGAGAAGUUCUCCAAACCGCCCCACUUAGAGGAAGGAGAAGUCGUAACA
rnacentral:rRNA from 1 species